CACUAAAUGUCUGAGAGUAAGUAACGGUCUCUUAAACCGCAUACAAUAAAGUAACGUAUAUUUUUAGUG
rnacentral:tRNA from 1 species